GACGAACGCUGGCGGCGUGCCUAAUACAUGCAAGUCGAACGGUCUUUUCUAUGGAAGCUUGCUUCCACUGAGAAGAUAGUGGCGAACGGGUGAGUAACACGUGGGUAACCUGCCCAUAAGAGGGGGAUAACAUCCGGAAACGGGUGCUAAUACCGCAUAGUUUUCUUGAUCGCGUGAUCGGGAAAGGAAAGACGGCCUUUGUGCUGUCGCUUAUGGAUGGACCCGCGGCGUAUUAGUUAGUUGGUGAGGUAACGGCUCACCAAGACGAUGAUACGUAGCGGACCUGAGAGGGUGAUCGGCCACAUUGGGACUGAGACACGGCCCAAACUCCUACGGGAGUCAGCAGUAGGGAAUCUUCCGCAAUGGACGAAAGUCUGACGGAGCAACGCCGCGUGAGUGAAGAAGGUUUUCGGAUCGUAAAACUCUGUUGUCAGAGAAGAACAAGUUGGAGAGUAACUGCUCCAGCCUUGACGGUAUCUGACCAGAAAGCCACGGCUAACUACGUGCCAGCCGCCGCCGUAAGAC
rnacentral:rRNA from 1 species